AAGGCCCUUUCGGGGGUACUCGAGUGGCGAACGGGUGAGUAACACGUGGGUGAUCUGCCCUGCACUUUGGGAUAAGCCUGGGAAACUGGGUCUAAUACCGAAUACACCCUGCUGGUCGCAUGGCCUGGUAGGGGAAAGCUUUUGCGGUGUGGGAUGGGCCCGCGGCCUAUCAGCUUGUUGGUGGGGUGAUGGCCUACCAAGGCGACGACGGGUAGCCGGCCUGAGAGGGUGACCGGCCACACUGGGACUGAGAUACGGCCCAGACUCCUACGGGAGGCAGCAGUGGGGAAUAUUGCACAAUGGGCGCAAGCCUGAUGCAGCGACGCCGCGUGAGGGAUGACGGCCUUCGGGUUGUAAACCUCUUUCAGCACAGACGAAGCGCAAGUGACGGUAUGUGCAGAAGAAGGACCGGCCAACUACGUGCCAGCAGCCGCGGUAAUACGUAGGGUCCGAGCGUUGUCCGGAAUUACUGGGCGUAAAGAGCUCGUAGGUGGUUUGUCGCGUUGUUCGUGAAAACUCACAGCUUAACUGUGGGCGUGCGGGCGAUACGGGCAGACUAGAGUACUGCAGGGGAGACUGGAAUUCCUGGUGUAGCGGUGGAAUGCGCAGAUAUCAGGAGGAACACCGGUGGCGAAGGCGGGUCUCUGGGCAGUAACUGACGCUGAGGAGCGAAAGCGUGGGGAGCGAACAGGAUUAGAUACCCUGGUAGUCCACGCCGUAAACGGUGGGUACUAGGUGUGGGUUUCCUUCCUUGGGAUCCGUGCCGUAGCUAACGCAUUAAGUACCCCGCCUGGGGAGUACGGCCGCAAGGCUAAAACUCAAAGGAAUUGACGGGGGCCCGCACAAGCGGCGGAGCAUGUGGAUUAAUUCGAUGCAACGCGAAGAACCUUACCUGGGUUUGACAUGCACAGGACGCCGGCAGAGAUGUCGGUUCCCUUGUGGCCUGUGUGCAGGUGGUGCAUGGCUGUCGUCAGCUCGUGUCGUGAGAUGUUGGGUUAAGUCCCGCAACGAGCGCAACCCUUGUCUCAUGUUGCCAGCACGUUAUGGUGGGGACUCGUGAGAGACUGCCGGGGUCAACUCGGAGGAAGGUGGGGAUGACGUCAAGUCAUCAUGCCCCUUAUGUCCAGGGCUUCACACAUGCUACAAUGGCCGGUACAAAGGGCUGCGAUGCCGUGAGGUGGAGCGAAUCCUUUCAAAGCCGGUCUCAGUUCGGAUCGGGGUCUGCAACUCGACCCCGUGAAGUCGGAGUCGCUAGUAAUCGCAGAUCAGCAACGCUGCGGUGAAUACGUUCCCGGGCCUUGUACACACCGCCCGUCACGUCAUGAAAGUCGGUAACACCCGAAGCCGGUGGCCUAACCCUUGUGGAGG
rnacentral:rRNA from 1 species